rnacentral:lncRNA from 1 species
GGAAAAUGAAGAACAGGGUCAGUGUCAGCCCCUACAGUCAGUGCACACAUCAGCAGACCAUGGAGUCACAGUGCCAGGCACUGCAGACAGCAGCAUGGACUAAUGUGCCAACAGCUAGAGUGGGAUCUUAGCGUGACAGAGACCCAUGUGCCCAUGCUGCCAGUCACUGGAGCAAGAGCAGCUGUGGAGGAGCCUUCCCAUGGAAGCUGCAAGUCAGAAACUGGAGUUUGACAGCAAGUUGUCUGUGAUUUGCUUUUCUCAAGAUGUGGUCUUCAAAAGAAUGGGACUACAGUCUGGAUCCCAAAACCUGUCUCACUGCUUUUGCAGUAGAGAGAACACUCUGAAAUGACACAGCACCAGCCUGCUCCCCACUGUGAUCCUCAAGGCACCUGUAAAAUCCUCCUCAACCACUGGGAAAUGAAGUUAUUCCAGUACUACUUAUCUUCUCUCUGUCAUACGUACCUCAAAAUCCAUAUUAUGAUUCAUUAGCCCCUUGACUGAUUUUUCUGGUUGAUGCAGUAUAUGGGUUGAUCCCAAAGUUUUUGGGAUCUCGUUUGAGUCUUUUUAUUUUUGUUGCUAUGCACACUUUUUCUGAAGCUGCAUUUUGUUCUGGUUUUCUAUUUUUUAAGAGUUACUUGUGUGUCACUGUGCAAACAAAAGUCUGUCCCAAUUGUACUGCAUGAUCAUUCUGUUGGGGUGGAUGCAGGG